GUCCGUAGAAUUUCCAGGCGAGUAUUUUUCAAGUAUCAAUACAUCAUAAAAAAAUAACAAAUACGGUUUAUCUCGAUUUUCAAUUUAUGCGAGUGGCUUUAAUAAUUUGAUCACCCGCUGUAUGCGUUGAGAAGUUUCUAGCAGAAUCUAGCUUCGAUAGAGCUAAGCUAAGUAGAAUCCAAGGCUCAAUGUUCUACGCUAAAUGGAACCAAGGUCUGAUACUUAAAGUUAAACAGAUUCCACGUUAACUUAGAAUCUUGUUAGAGUUCGCAAACUGUAAGCUAAGGAGAACCAGUCUGUUACUCGGAUCGUCAUGAAAUUGUUUCGAAAACGUCAUACAAGAUCCCAUUAAUUGGAUCAACGCGCGAAGAUAAAGCAACUGGACUGGCCAGCGGAAGCGGGCACAGGAAAAGAAGAUUUUAGAGUAAUUUUAUGCGCAUUCCAUCGGCGGAUCCACGCCCACAAAGAGGAAGAGACGUGUCGCUGGCGAAUGCGACAACGCCGAGCGAAAGCCACGAGGUUAUUUUCGACACGGUGGAGUUUAAACAUAGACGAACGGGUAGGAACAUACCUUCCCGCUGUUGGACGACCGUCUGAAACUCAACGAUAUCGAUAGAAUAGCAAUCACGUCCAAGUAGAGAGCAACAAACGAGCAUACAAUUAAUUCAGGCUAAUAAUAAUUAACGUUAUUCACCGUUGCCAUUUUGAUGAUACACAAACUUAACAUCCAUCCAGUGGAACUAAUUAGUUGGCUCAUUAAGAAUCUCCUGGAAUAUCUAACUCCAAUUACCGACAAGUUUGAAACGUUGAAACCUGGUUGAAGGAAACAAUAGGAGCAGUAACACCAGGGAUGGAUAUCAUGAACGGCUCAGCGUGAAAUCUGAACCAACGAGUCGAAGGUGCAUCGGCUGAUCCAUACUUAAUCCAACGAGAUUCAUCCAGGAUGAACGAGAUGAAUCGGAAUAGAGGCUUCGUCCAGGAAUAGAGUUAGAGAGGAUAAAUUCUGGAAUCUGGCUAGCGACAAUGAAGAUAGAAGACGGGAUAGGCAUAGAAAGGAAUGCAGAAGUGGCAGGGUAGAGUUGCCGGGCAAGUCACCGACGGCUGGGAUCUCGUUUGCAGCAAUCCACGCGCCUAUGACCGUGGAACACGGUUAUAGAUACAUACAUCGGGGCCACCACCAACGAGAUCACCGGUUCCACCGUCUCUCUCCCUGUUCGGCUCUUUAUCCAAUCGACUUAAUCGACCGAGGCCCUGCUCGUUGCAAGCUUGGACCACCGUUUACAUUGAUAAAGCGACCCGUUCAGGGACGUUUACCCUGGAGAGGGGUCAGUGUCACGUCGUGGGCCCAGAGUUCGUUGACUGAAUAAGCCGAGGCAGGCUCUCUCGGACCAAGGACCGGUUGGUCCACCCUUCGUCCCACCCUGCCCACUGACAGUGCCGGAGCUUUAUCCCUCGUAGCCCUAAGUGCAUCGACUUCUACUCGCGUUCAUCCUCCUAAGGAUCAACUCAUCCUUUUUUUCCCCCUCGUGUUGGCUGAACGCGUCUCUUCCUGGCUUCAAAAGUCAGCCAGUCGACUUUGGAAAUAUCUUUUUUCAUCCUCGAUCAAACGAACCGAAGUGAGUACCUAUCCGCUUCGAGUAACGAUGAAUUAAUCUAAAGUAGGUGAACCGAUCGUGAUUGACAUCGACGAAGAAUGACCAUCGGCGAAUAGUUAACCGGUCGAAGGAGACAGGUAGAAAGAAAAGGUUCGCGGACAGAAACCAAGUCGAACAUGGUGUAUGCAAAUCAGCACGACCUUUCGGGGUUACGUACCGCGUGUCUGUGUGUGUGUGUGCACGAGGCACAAGGAGAGGAUCGAUAAGUCGCCACCUCAACGUAAGCACUCGAACGAUCGAGCCACGAUGUCGUAAGUGGCAAAAUCAUCUGCCGUGCCGAGGCACCGUUCCAUAAACCUCGCAAUCUACGAGACACGCCAGCCCUCCAAGAAUCUCUUCCUGGACAGACAUAACGUUCCUUGAAAAUGCUGCAAACUGGAAUGCUCAGAGCGACGAAAUCGUUUCCUUUCAAUUAGACGAAAGGGAACGUCCCUUUUUCUCGAUCCUUCUGAUAUUACAAACGGGACAAGGAAAUUCUUGCAAAAGGCAAGGUGGACAGAAAAACGUGUAACCUUUCGGGCCAAGAUCCUACCGAUAGGCCGACCGCGUGCAUCCCUAAGGAAAACGAGGGAAAUUCGAUCCAGGAGCGUGACAAAUAUGGUCGAGUCGUUUGUGGAAAACCCAAGGACUCGUUGUGUCAACCCGAAACUGUCCGACUGCUCGUAAACGUCCGGGAAAACAGUGGAAGAAAAUUAAUUAUUUAUGUUCCUUGACUGAAAUCUUGGAACUUUCUCCUGAAAAACGAAACGCCUAUAUAUAAAAAAAAAAGAAAUUUACUGGUAGUUUCCAGUGGUAAUAGAAGGAGGGUCGAGGUCACAGUAAUAAAUCAUGUUUUUUUUUCGAAAAUGGUAAAAACGAGGAGGGUAAGAAUAAAAUGGCUCGUUACUUGGAAAGAACUUUUUUUCUCUUUUAUCUAUGGCUAGAUAAGAAUAGCCUCGUACCGAGGUUAACGGUUGGUAAAUUGAGUUUAUAUUUAAUAUCUUUCAAUAGCGAAAACUUUCACGCUUGAAACGCGCUAAUAUAUUUUCCAGUUGGUCCAUUGGGUACCGGUACGAAAUCGAUACAGUUAUUUUACCAUCAAACGUCCAGACACGCGGAAGUUGAAACAGGAAUGUCUACGAGUCCAGCAAACUCGACAAACUGAAACUGGAAUUUUAUUGUAUAUAUAAAAGUGAUUCCAGAGGACACGCCUUUCGUCGUAGUAACGAGAAACGAGCAUGUCAAGUGCAGCUGGCAGCUAAUUAGCAUCGCAUCUGUAUUUAUGGAAAAUCAAUGUCCACGAACGACCAUACGAGCAGAUGGUAUCAAGAGUUGGACUCUGUUGGUACGAGAUUCACGAUAACAGGCCCGGCUCUCGACGAACCUCUGGGGAUCUUCCAACGAUCUGACGUUGAAAUCGCCUGAUAUCCUCGAAAAGUAACGUCGCUUCAUCGUUCUUUAAAUAGACAAUUUAUCGAACAAUAGCGAGAGAAGUUUAAAUUAUAAGAAAUAACGAAAACAUAGAAUAUCUCUGACCAUAGAUAACUGAAAUCUUCUUCAAACUCCAAAUAUUUACCGGACGUCUUCGGCAGGAUUAACAGAGCCUUCCACGAGUUUAACCAGCACCUCUGACACGUUUCGUCGAAGAAUUCUCGCAACGAGAAGAAGAGAAAACAUUGAAAUCCUUCUCGUUUCACACGGUUAUCGUUCGCAAAUAACCUUUGCCAUUGGGGGAUAGAGAUACCGGACAAGAUAGCAAGAGGAUCUUGGCGAAAAGAGAGCUUAGGAGAAGCCUGAUCGACGAUCCGAGUCCUCUGUGUCAACAGACGAUUCACCAACCACUUUCGUCCUCGUUCGUUUCAGAAGAUAACACGGCUCUGAUACCGCUGACGGAAGUUCCAUCGACGUGGGAAAGCCUCCGAUACACCUCUUCUUUUUCUUCUAUCUCUUAUUUGCGGCGCGAUACCGAGCCCGAGGUAGACGAUGCAUUCCUUUAUCCCAAGAAUUUCAUCGGAAGUCGUGAAUGUUCACCGGACGAUGAAAAUCGCGGUAGGGAAUAAACUUUCGUCCAAAUGGGAUCGCGACGAAGAAACGUACGCGUCGAUGAGGCAAUCCUGUGUAAAAAUAAUCGAUCGACGAUGAAACACACGUGAAUAGAGCGGGUAAUCGAGAAAAGGAGGACUCUUUUCGCCCAUUGAAAAGGGAACCGAUCGAUCCUCCGCGGGCCAGACUCCAAUUCCGUAACGAGGGUCGAAACGAAACAAGAAAAGCAAGGCUAAUCGCUCUCCUUCCUCUUAAUUACUCAAUGACGGAGCUGUAUCGAUGCUAAUCAAAUCGCACCGAAUCACAAUGGAAAAUUAGUUAUCGCGGAAAGUUUUGAAAGUCUUGGAAACCUUGAAGAUCUCAUCGUUCUUAAGACUUUGGAUUACGUCAAUGUUUGAACUGGGAAGAAAUAACUAAUCUAAGAUAAUAUUAUUCACUAGAAAUAUACAACUAGUGUUUCAAGGGUUUCCCCGUUUCCAAUGGGGGGAUGCAAAACUGCUGGAGGAUUUGAAAGAAACGUUAGAAAGAGCAGAAUCAACGGGUCUUGAAGGGAAAAGAAAGCAGAGAGGGCUUGUUGCCAUGCAAGGGGUGGAACUGGCGUUGGAACGACCGCACCCUCGUCGUAGUAAUUGAUUGAGCCGCGCCCUGCGAGGGUGUUAGCUUCUACCAGCGAUGCCUUUCAACAGUCCUCGAAUCUAUUCGCUCGAGCUCGGUUUACUUUCGAAAAUUUAAUCUUUCUAUUAAACAUUAAGUGAGUAAUCCUUGUCUUUGCUUAAGACAAGGAUUUUCUAAGAUAGUCCUCUGCUUAUCAUUUCCUUGCCUUAUUUACUAUCUUAGUAGCCCAUUAUCGUUUAUCUUCUCGCCUUAUCUUUUAGUUGUUAUCGUAUCUCAACGGAGUCUCUUUAGAAUUCCUUAAAAUAUUAAUAACCUGAACUACGAAAACGAAGAACUAAUUAAUUUCGAGCACGAUUUCGAGUCAUCGCUAGAAAGGAAGGCACGAGCAAACGGUCGACCUAUAGAACACGAGGCUGUUAUAUUCCUACACCUCGCCAGCCAAAGUCUGGAAUAACGGCGAGGGUGAUGGCAGGACGAGUAGGUAGUGCGGGUACAAAGUAUGGUGGUGGUGGCGGUGAUGGCGACGUUAUAGGUGGAUACGAGGGUGGCGGUGGACCGUCAUGCCACAUAGUGUGAUAGUGGAGCAUUAAACGACCAACCCCCGGCCAGUACUAUUGGCCCAACCUACGAGAACCCUAAACAGUAGCGACACAGCCAGACUCAAGAUCGAGAUCAAUUUUCCCAAUCAAUCAGCGAUAAACAUAUAUCUAAAGUGAUAACGUGAUAAUAAGAUAAAGUGAUAAAGAGAAUACGCUUAGGGUAUCACAGUAGCUUUCCUCGAUUUUCCAUUUUGAAUGCUUUCUAAUUGAGUGAAAAACGUGCUCAAGGAUGAACCACUGGUGUUACAGGAUAAUGGGUCCCUUUCGCAGGUAUACGGGGAGAAAGAAAAAUUUCGAAGGGUCUUUAGAAAUCAGCCAUCAACACGGUGACUUCUGUUCUGACCUUUUCAUCCCCCUCGAGAGCACAAGGGUCCCAUUGUGAGGAGUUGACACUUGUUAUCGAAUCAUUAGACGCGCUCAGGGGAGAGCUAAACACAGAUUAACGACCUUUUAAGUAAUCAAGCUCCUAUGAAGGGUAGAGGAAAGUUCAUAGAAAGAAAUGCAAUCCGAAUCGAACGAGCAGCAGGGAAGAAUUCGCAUGAAUAUCAACUUCCAGCAGACUAAUGCAACAGUGAUAUACUUGUUCCCCGAGGCAAAGGGAUUCGCGAUGCUCUGUUCGAGAAAGCUGGUUCCCAGUUCUCGUCGGUCGGUUUCUUAAAGCCGAUCCGUACGAUGACCUGAGAUGCUCGUCGAGCAGGGGGAUGAUACCCUGGCGAGUAAUUAAAACUUCGAGGUCGACCACGAGGACGGGAAGGAGUCCUCUCACACCAUGGAACCUACGACUCGUACGUGCAAGACAACCUUUGGAUCUGUGGAAGAUCCGGCCCCGAAUACCGAACAGGCUUGGGAGUUGUUUGACCAGCUGCUACGAACCAAGAAACCCUCGCCGUGUCCUCCUUUCCUUUCCUUUCCUUCUUAGCAACGCUUUCCCAAUUCGGCUUCCUACAGUCUCUUCUUCUUCCUUCGUUUCAAAUUUUUCCAACACCCCAUCAUUAUUAACGAAUGCUCUUAAGAGAAAAAUGAAAAAAGAAAAAAGAGAACAGAGAAAAGAAGAGAAAAAAGAACGAGGCUCGGAUUAGAUGAUUAUGCAGAUCACCGAUCGACACUUAACCCCCUGUCGUUAUAUCGAGACUCUAUUGCUUAACGGUGUAUGUAUCUCGAUACGGCACUGGUCGCCAAGAGCUGACCGAUCAUGGGCCACGGAUGGUCGUUGGGCGAACAAGACCGUUGUAACAGUACCUCACGUGCCAUAGGGAUCCCAUAACCGGCCACGUGUAAAAAAAAGAAAAGGUACAUAUUGAGACGCGAUCGAUGCCGCACCUGAGCCUUCUUUAUCUAUGUGAUCAAUUAAUAAAAAAAAAAAAAAGGAAACA